AGAGUUUGAUCCUGGCUCAGGACGAACGCUGGCGGUGCGCCUAACACAUGCAAGUCGAACGGAGCUUAGAGAGCUUGCUUUUUAAGCUUAGUGGCGAACGGGUGAGUAACGCGUGAGUAACCUGCCCUAGAGUGGGGGACAACAGUUGGAAACGACUGCUAAUACCGCAUAAGCCCACGGCACCGCAUGGCACUGAGGGAAAAGGAUUUAUUCGCUUUAGGAUGGACUCGCGUCCAAUUAACUAGUUGGUGAGGUAACGGCCCACCAAGGCGACGAUUGGUAGCCGGACUGAGAGGUUGAACGGCCACAUUGGGACUGAGACACGGCCCAGACUCCUACGGGAGGCAGCAGUGGGGGAUAUUGCACAAUGGGGGAAACCCUGAUGCAGCGACGCCGCGUGGAGGAAGAAGGUUUUCGGAUUGUAAACUCCUGUCGUUAGGGACGAUAAUGACGGUACCUAACAAGAAAGCACCGGCUAACUACGUGCCAGCAGCCGCGGUAAAACGUAGGGUGCAAGCGUUGUCCGGAAUUACUGGGUGUAAAGGGAGCGCAGGCGGGAAGACAAGUUGGAAGUGAAAACCAUGGGCUCAACCCAUGAAUUGCUUUCAAAACUGUUUUUCUUGAGUAGUGCAGAGGUAGAUGGAAUUCCCGGUGUAGCGGUGGAAUGCGUAGAUAUCGGGAGGAACACCAGUGGCGAAGGCGGUCUACUGGGCACCAACUGACGCUGAGGCUCGAAAGCAUGGGUAGCAAACAGGAUUAGAUGCCCUGGUAGUCCAUGCCGUAAACGAUGAUUACUAGGUGUUGGGGGAUUGACCCCCUCAGUGCCGCAGUUAACACAAUAAGUAAUCCACCUGGGGAGUACGACCGCAAGGUUGAAAC
rnacentral:rRNA from 1 species